rnacentral:rRNA from 1 species
GACGAACCGUGCGAACGUUGUUCGGAAUCACUGGGCUUAAAGGGCGCGUAGGCGGCUUGUCAAGUCAGGGGUGAAAUCUUUCGGCUCAACCGGAAAAGUGCCUUUGAUACUGGCAGGCUUGAGGGAGGUAGGGGUAUGUGGAACUUCUGGUGGAGCGGUGAAAUGCGUUGAUAUCAGAAGGAACGCCGGUGGCGAAAGCGACGUACUGGACCUCUUCUGACGCUGAGGCGCGAAAGCUAGGGGAGCAAACGGG